GGUGAUGUAGCUCAGUAUUAGAGCACUUGUCUAGCAUGCAUGAGGCCCUGUGUUCCAUCCACAGCACUGCAA
rnacentral:tRNA from 1 species